UACAUGGGGUGCAAACGUUGCUCGGAAUCAUUGGGCGUAAAGCGCGCGUAGGCGGUUACUUAAGUCGAAUGUGAAAGCCCUCGGCUUAACUGAGGAAGUGCAUCCGAAACUGAGUAGCUAGAGUACGAAAGAGGGUCGCGGAAUUCCCGGUGUAGAGGUGAAAUUCGUAGAUAUUCGGAAGAACACCAGUGGCGAAGGCGGCUCACUGGCCCGGUACUGACGCUGAGGUGCGAAAGCGUGGGGAGCAAACAGG
rnacentral:rRNA from 1 species